GACGAACGCUGGCGGCGUGCUUAACACAUGCAAGUCGAGCGGUAAGGCCCUUUCGGGGGUACACGAGCGGCGAACGGGUGAGUAACACGUGGGUGACCUGCCCUUAGCUCUGGGAUAAGCCUGGGAAACUGGGUCUAAUACCGGAUAUGACUCCAUAACGCAUGUUGUGGGGUGGAAAGCCUUGUGCGGCUAGGGAUGGGCCCGCGGCCUAUCAGCUUGUUGGUGGGGUGAUGGCCACCAAGGCGACGACGGGUAGCCGGCCUGAGAGGGCGACCGGCCACACUGGGACUGAGACACGGCCCAGACUCCUACGGGAGGCAGCAGUGGGGAAUCUUGCGCAAUGGGACGAAAGCCUGACGCAGCGACGCCGCGU
rnacentral:rRNA from 1 species